GACGAACGCUGGCGGCGUGCUUAACACAUGCAAGUCGAACGGAAAGGCCCUGCUUUUGUGGGGUGCUCGAGUGGCGAACGGGUGAGUAACACGUGAGUAACCUGCCCUUGACUUUGGGAUAACUUCAGGAAACUGGGGCUAAUACCGGAUAGGAGCUCCUGCUGCAUGGUGGGGGUUGGAAAGUUUCGGCGGUUGGGGAUGGACUCGCGGCUUACCAGCUUGUUGUUGGGGUAGUGGCUUACCAGGGCUUUGACGGGUAGCCGGCCUGAGAGGGUGACCGGCCACAUUGGGACUGAGAUACGGCCCAGACUCCUACGGGAGGCAGCAGUGGGGAAUAUUGCACAAUGGGCGGAAGCCUGAUGCAGCAACGCCGCGUGCGGGAUGACGGCCUUCGGGUUGUAAACCGCUUUCGCCUGUGACGAAGCGUGAGUGACGGUAAUGGGUAAAGAAGCACCGGCUAACUACGUG
rnacentral:rRNA from 1 species